AAUUUAGUUUUUCUGCCAUUAGUGAAUGCAUUAGUAUUUUUUUACCUUACAAAUAAACUUAGUGCCAAAUAGAUGUUAUUCUGUUAAAAAGCGAAGAAUUAACUGUUAAAGCUUUCAUUAGUUGUGUUGAGCAAACAAAGUUAGGUUAAAGGGUUUUCACCGCUUAUAAGUUAAAAAAAUCAACUUGUUUUGCAAAUAUAUCGAAUAUACAUAUUGAGAAUAUUCUCUGAAAACUUUAAAAUGAUCCGGCUCAUUUCGGAGAUAUUUAGUCGGCGAGGAAUAUUUAGUUUUUAUGAUUUGCAAGUGGAUAUUACCCUUAAGUGAAGUUACCACAUAAACGUUAUGUAACUAAUGGAUAAAUUUAGAAAGUUUAGGCAAAUUCGUGUGGUUUACUGGUCUUAUGUGAAGGUUUUUCAUGACUUUCCUUUUUUAUGUAAACCAAGCAUGAACUCAGGUCCAGCGUAUUGGUAGGAAGAUACUAAAAUUUUUGUAUACUUGGUAAAGAGGUAUGUAUACAAUGACAAACAAAAUCUCCUGACGAAGGGAUAAAGUGAGUAGAAAAUAAUUUCAGAAACCCAGAAAACAAUAAGUAUCCGAGACGACUGAUGGGUAUUACGCCCAAAUACAAAAUAACCUAAUUUGUCUAGUUCUUUCAUUAAACACUGUAUCUAUUGUAAUUAGAGUGAACAGUUGAAAUUUUUGAAAGAGGCAUUAAUACAUAAUAAAUGUUUGCGCUCUACUCUCGCUAAAACACCUGUUUUUAUGGGCUAUGUGCUUGACAAAGUACGAAACCACUAAAAAUGUAGAUAAGGGUAGCUUAUUACUCAUAAGCACUCACAUGUAGUAUGACUUGCGUAUAAAAUUAAAUAUAGGUAUAGUGUAUACUGAUAUGAUAACUUCAUAAGUUUUAGAGACAUAAGCUCAUAUUGUCUUUAUCAGACAAAAUUAUGGAAGAAGGGGAAUGGAAGAUGGAAGAACAAUAACAAAAUAGUGAAAAUGUGUUUAUUUUGUUAUGUGAAAUAUGUUAGUUUUACUUCUUUUUGUAUUAAAAAUAAUGUACUUAUUUAACUAAAAA